GACGAACGCUGGCGGCGUGCUUAACACAUGCAAGUCGAGCGAGAAACUUCGGUUUCUAGCGGCGGACGGGUGAGUAACACGUGGGCAACCUGCCUCACAAUGGGGGAUAGCCUUCCGAAAGUAAGAUUAAUACCGCAUAACACAAAGGAAACGCAUGUUUCUUUUGCCAAAGAAUUUCGUUGUGAGAUGGGCCCGCGGCGCAUUAGCUUGUUGGUGAGGUAACGGCUAACCAAGGCGACGAUGCGUAGCCGACCUGAGAGGGUGAUCGGCCACAUUGGAACUCAGACACGGUCCAGACUCCUACGGGAGGCAGCAGUGGGGAAUAUUGCACAAUGGAGGAAACUCUGAUGCAGCAACGCCGCGUGAGUGAUGAAGGUCUUCGGAUUGUAAAGCUCUGUCUUCUGGGACGAUAAUGACGGUACCAGAGGAGGAAGCCACGGCUAACCACGUGCCAGCCGCCGCAGUAA
rnacentral:rRNA from 1 species